UACGAAGGGGGCUAGCGUUGCUCGGAAUCACUGGGCGUAAAGCGCACGUAGGCGGAUCCUUAAGUCGGGGGUGAAAUCCUGGAGCUCAACUCCAGAACUGCCUUCGAUACUGAGGAUCUCGAGUCCGGGAGAGGUGAGUGGAACUGCGAGUGUAGAGGUGAAAUUCGUAGAUAUUCGCAAGAACACCAGUGGCGAAGGCGGCUCACUGGCCCGAUACUGACGCUGAGGAGCGAAAGCGUGGGGAGCGAACAGG
rnacentral:rRNA from 1 species